GUUUACAUUCUUAUUUUGUUUACUUCGAUCUUAAAUGUUCUCUUCUUUGCUGUAUGCCAAUUGCAUCGCUGAUUGACUAAUUACACAAUGGAGCAAACAUGGCCACUACAAAUGGUCUUGAGAACAUGGCCAUUCAACAAUCAUGCAUAUGAUGUAAACUGUCUCAUGCACUAAGUGAAUAAUUACAAUGGGAAUCCAAUAGCAUUCAUGAGAAGGUACACGAUCCUGGCGUUUUUAAAUUCUAAGUCUUCUUUAGGUUUAAAAUUGGAUAGAUUGUAAAAGGCGUAUCAAUAAAUUUGGUUUCGAUCACACGUUAACCAAUUUCAGGUAAAA